rnacentral:rRNA from 1 species
UACAGAGGUCUCAAGCGUUGUUCGGAUUCAUUGGGCGUAAAGGGUGCGUAGGUGGCGAGGCAAGUCUGGUGUGAAAUCCCGGGGCUCAACCCCGGAACUGCACUGGAUACUGCUUUGCUAGAGUACUGGAGAGGAGAUUGGAAUUUACGGUGUAGCAGUGAAAUGCGUAGAUAUCGUAAGGAAGACCAGUGGCGAAGGCGAAUCUCUGGACAGUUACUGACACUGAGGCACGAAGGCCAGGGGAGCGAACGGG